rnacentral:tRNA from 1 species
GGCCUCGUGGCGCAACGGUAGCACGUACGACUCCAGAUCGUAAGGUUAUCCGUUCAAAUCGGGUCGGGGUCA